CACAUGCAAGUCGAACGAUGACUUUUGUGCUUGCACAAAAUGAUUAGUGGCGAACGGGUGAGUAACACGUGAGUAACCUGCCCUUAACUUCGGGAUAAGCCUGGGAAACCGGGUCUAAUACCGGAUACGACGGAUCCCCGCAUGGGGGUUCGUGGAAAGCUUGAUGCGGUUUUGGAUGGACUCGCGGCCUAUCAGCUUGUUGGUUGGGGUAAUGGCCCACCAAGGCGACGACGGGUAGCCGGCCUGAGAGGGUGACCGGCCACACUGGGACUGAGACACGGCCCAGACUCCUACGGGAGGCAGCAGUGGGGAAUAUUGCACAAUGGGCGAAAGCCUGAUGCAGCGACGCCGCGUGAGGGACGAAGGCCUUCGGGUUGUAAACCUCUUUCAGCAGGGAAGAAGCGAAAGUGACGGUACCUGCAGAAGAAGCGCCGGCUAACUACGUGCCAGCAGCCGCGGUAAUACGUAGGGCGCAAGCGUUAUCCGGAAUUAUUGGGCGUAAAGAGCUCGUAGGCGGUUUGUCGCGUCUGCUGUGAAAGCCCGGGGCUCAACCCCGGGUCUGCAGUGGGUACGGGCAGACUAGAGUGCAGUAGGGGAGACUGGAAUUCCUGGUGUAGCGGUGAAAUGCGCAGAUAUCAGGAGGAACACCGAUGGCGAAGGCAGGUCUCUGGGCUGUAACUGACGCUGAGGAGCGAAAGCAUGGGGAGCGAACAGAAUUAGAUACCCUGAUAGUCCAUGCCGUAAACGUUGGGCACUAGGGUGUGG
rnacentral:rRNA from 2 species